CGCGUAGGCGGCUGGAUAAGUCAGAUGUGAAAUCCCACGGCUCAACUGUGGAAGUGCAUUUGAAACUGUCCGGCUUGAGUAUCGGAGGGGAGUGUGGAAUUCCCGGUGUAGAGGUGAAAUUCGUAGAGAUCGGGAGGAACACCGGUGGCGAAGGCGACACUCUGGACGCAUACUGACGCUGAGGCGCGAAAGCGUGGGGAGCAAACA
rnacentral:rRNA from 1 species